UCACAGUAUCAAGCCUGGCUUGUUGUUGGGCCCUUUGUCACCUGGUGACAGGUCCGAAAGACAAUGGCCGGUGGAACAGACUCCACAUGCAACGAGCUGACCACAGCACGCAUCUGGCAGUUGUGUGACCCGGUUUUACACCCCUUCUUUCUCUA
rnacentral:misc_RNA from 1 species